GAACAACAAUGCUGCAAAGUAUCAAGCUUAUUUUGUGUUCUUCAGUGGAAACCACUUUAACAUUGAUGGGCUGGAGGAUAAACAGAGACAAACAGAGAAUCAUUCCCCCUAUUGCAUCAUUCCAUACAAUAAAUAAUAGUACUUGAACAAUCAAAAUAUACUCCUGUAUUAGGGCUUGUGUCCACAUAGUCUUUGUCUCUGCCAUGGCCCAGCGGUGUGCUACCAAGCGCUGCCUGUUAGUAUGGUUUCUAUGACAACAACAAUAAUGAUAGCAAAGUUAACACAAUAAUGGGUUGACUACCCAGCUAACAACAAGCUUACUUACUUACGCUCAGAACAAAGAUGCAUGCGGCCACAUUUACCCAAGGUAACAGUCUGUGGUGAUGUUAUGUCUGUUAAAAUAGCAGGAUAGUCGAGUGUCUGUUAUCUGAUCAGGUAAAGUCAGUUAAACAGGUGACGAUCACAAUGUUGUGGCCUACAAACAGGCUUGGUAGUGAUUGCCACGGUAACGUGCUGCAAAUCUAGUGUUUUAGGCUGAGCUGGACAGAGAGUAUUCAGGUUAAACUGCUCUGCUCUCAUUGUUCUCUGUGAAGUUAGCUGGAAGUGAACGUAUCUCCAUUGUGUCUGCGUUGGACUCUGUUUAACAAAAUAGCCUUUAAAAUGCUUCAUUUGACAUGCAGUUCACACACCAGUCAUCAUUUAGCAACAGGUGAACUAGCUUUAAAAGUGAGGUGUGUAGUAAGAAAAGUGUUAAAAUUGAGAAUGGAAUUUGGUGCGGUGUGUGGACAGACCUGAGAGUUCCCCAACCUGCUAAUCGCUCUUUAACCCCCUGGAACAAUUUA